UAUGAUGCUUUUAUAUACCGCCCCAGUCGGAAGAACAUUGUCGAUUGGUUUUAUAUUCUGAUU
rnacentral:snoRNA from 1 species